rnacentral:rRNA from 4 species
GCAACGAUGAAGAACGCAGCGAAAUGCGAUACGUAGUGUGAAUUGCAGAAUUCCGUGAACCAUCGAAUCUUUGAACGCAUAUUGCGCUCGAGCCCUCGGGCAAGAGCAUGUCUGCCUCAGCGUC